rnacentral:rRNA from 1 species
CCUACGGGAGGCAGCAGUGGGGAAUUUUGCGCAAUGGGCGAAAGCCUGACGCAGUAACGCCGCGUGGAGGAUGAAGGCCUUCGGGUUGUAAACUCCUGUCAGGGGGAACGACGGGUGUGAGCCGAAUACGCUCACAUUUCAGACGGUACCCCCAAAGGAAGCCCCGGCUAAUUCCGUGCCAGCAGCCGCGGU